GCGCCUGUGGCCCAACGGAUAGGGCGUUAGCCUCCGGAGCUAAAUGUGUGGGUUCAAUUCCCACCAGGCGCA
rnacentral:tRNA from 1 species